AGCCUGAAUUGCCCAAAGUUCCUGAGUUGCCAAAGCCUGAGUUACCCAAGUUGCCUGAAUUGCAAAAACCUGAAGAAGUGAAAGUUCCAGAGUUGCCCAAAGCUCCUGAAUUGCCAAAAGUUCCGGAGUUGCCAAAGCCUGAAUCGCCCAAAGUUCCAGAGUUGCCCAAAGCUCCUGAAUUGCCAAAAGUUCCGGAGUUGCCAAAGCCUGAAUCGCCCAAAGUUCCAGAGUUGCCAAAACCUGAAUUGCCUAAAGUUCCAGAGUUACCAAAGCCUAAGUUGCCCAAGCCAGAACUACCAAAGUUGCCUGACUUGCCAAAGCCUGAAGCGCCAAAGGAAGAAGUGCCCAAGUUGCCUGAAUUGCCUACCAUGCCAAGUCUUCCUAAAGACUUUCCCAUCCCUUCCUUCACUCCACCUUACACAACCACCAGCCCUUGAAUCAUGACACUGUCUUCGUCCCCUACAUUAUACAUAUUGUUGCUACGUAUCCCUCUUAUAGUAGUCUCUUGAUUAGCGGAUGAGUGUAUUCAUUGUUGCUAGACCAGAUGAUUCAUAAAUGUGUUGCUUGAGUUGUUGUUUUAGAGCAGUUCUGUUAUAGUCGUCUCGACUGUUUUAUCAUAUGUAAUUUCUUAAUAAAUUUAUAAUAAUAUACAAAGUUUGAUUUUCUUAUUCAGUAUAUUCAAUUUUUUUUCAGCCUAGCAUAUUUAUUAGUUACAACAAUUAUGCAACAUGGUCUCCUACAGCACUAAACGCUUCCGUAAGCUGUGUAAAUGGAUAAAUCUCAAUUAGUACCUAUUGUCUAAUGACAGCACUCAAACUAACAAUUCUUUCUAAACAAAAUAAAGUUCUUGAAAUUAUGGCUAAAAAGAGAAAAAGAAGGAGAAGGCACCCAUUGUAGAUAUUAUUUUGCACAAGCUUGAUGUCAGUAAAAAUCUUUAAUAAGCCAUUAAAGACUGUAAAUGACAUGAUGACUUAAUGCGAACAAAAUCACAUUUUUUUAAAAAAAAAACCAAAAUAACAAUCGUCUUCAUAUGCUCAUAAUUCUUCUGUUUUUGAAGUUUUUAACAAUGAUAAGCAAAAUUUGGAGAUGUAAACAAAAAAAAAAAAUGCGUCAGUAUUGGAUAAUUGAGGGUGUCACGGUUUUGCACAUAACCCACAGGUCUAGUUGGGACAACAGCACAAAUAAGUGCCGGAUACCCCCCAAGGCCAAAAAUUGACCAUGGGCCAAUAUUGAUUACGGGCCGCAUACACGCUGCGUUACCCAAUCUUGCAGGACUGUGGAUCGAAAGUAGGUAGAAUUUGCACAAGAAGCUCGGCUUUAAAAGGACUCUCGGAUAAGAGUAAUUUGAUAGAGAUAGAAUUCUUAUAUAUAACUAUUAUUUAUUUUACUUAAAUUAGGAUUUUAGGUUAGUCGGAGAACAUUUAUUUACUUAAAUCUCUUAUUACCUAUCUUAGUUGUAGUAAACAAUUAGAAGUAUAAGAAAGUUAUAUUAUAAAUAGUAUCCUAAGCUUUUAGGGAAAAAAAAGGGUAAGAGAGUCAAUUACCCCAGUAAUCAUUCAUUCAAAUAAUUCAAGCAUUUAGGCAUUAAGUUAUUUGUUUAAAAUCUUAGCUAUUUGUUUUUCUCUUGACAAUAAUACAAUUGUUGUUUACAAUUUCAAGUAUUUGUUCUUUUUUGAGAAUAAUAUAAUUAUUUUUUUAAAAUUUUUUUUCAAAUUUAUUAAGUUUUCGCUUUCGUAUUUUUGUACAAAAUUAUGAGUUAGACAUAGUCCUUUUAUUCCAAACUUGAAGCACAAUGCAGAUCUUGGUUAAAAAUUUAAGAAUUAAACUUGUUUAGACUUUUUAUCCCAAGCCUAAACGGUGUACCCUAAGCUCUAAGAUCCGUAUAAAUUCUUGACUAAAAUUCCAAGCUUGUGAUAGAGGGUUUCUGGUCGUUUAGCACAUUGCAUAAUUCCCACAAUCAAUUUAACGUUUUUGGUUGGAAGAAGCACAUUAUCACAGGCAUUACUAAACAUUCACUUAAAGUUAUCCAUAUUGGCAACGAGGAUGGAAUUUAAAGAGAAAGAAUGUGUAAUCAAGGACAGAAAGACAAACAAAAUGGAAUUGGGGGUGGGUGUGUAUUACUGCUCUCAACUGUACUUUCAGUUAAACCAACCGUUCAUUUGAUAAGCCAUUUCAAAUUUCCAUCUAUACCAGGAAAGCAUCUGAAAUAGUUAAGUUCAAAACUUGUUCAGAAUCAUCAAUUGAUUUAAUUAGUACAAACUUAAAACUGUUUUUAGCUUAAAAUCUUAUAUUUAUAAACCUUUUAAUUUCUUUUUGAUGGUAGAUAUGCUGGUGGAUAGAGAUUUUUUGUAUUAUUUUGUAAAGAUAGAAAAUCAAAUCUUACUUUUCCUAAAAAGUACUAGAUUUAAAACAGCAUGAUGAAUAAUAAUUUUAAUUUGCUAUAUUAUUAUAUACAUAAAUGUUUAUAUAAAUUAAUUAAAGAACACAAAAUUAUAAUUUGUGAAAAUGAGCAUUAUAUAUAAUAUUUUAUUAUCUAUGGCCACUUGCAAGAUCAAUUAAAUCUUAUAUUAAUAGAAAAACAAAACCAGCAUGUACAGUAAUUGGAUCAAAAAUUUACAAACAAAAAACAACAUUUCUAAUGGAUGACUGAUCAUUCUCAUGGGUACGUGGGAACAAACAAAUGAGUGGAAAUGAUAUGAAUUUCGGGAAGGAAUUAUAGGUUUGGUGGAGACUAGAGAGGUGUGUUCAGCUUAGAAGGAAGAAACAAGGACUAAGAAAGACACAGUGGGAGAUGGCGUUAACGUAGCAAAGACGAGGCACGAGCAAACAUGAUAGAGGCAGCCUCAAGGCAUAAAUAUUGAUAAUAUUUUUCGUUGCAAUGCAAACUUUAUAUUGACAUAUUGCGUGGAACUCUUCAGGCAACCAAAAAUCACCUACGCCUCAUCAGAUAUGCCGUUUUGGAGUCUAUUGAACCAUGUUUGCUUAUGCUUAAAUUGUUUACCAUUGAACUUUUAAUAACAACCUCAACUUCACUCUUCUGCAGAGUUAGUCUCUGGCUGGCUAGUUGUAACACAAAUAGAUCAUUUCAAUUUCUAAUAGACUGCCCUUAGCUGUUUAUUGUGUACUUGAUAACACAUAAGUAAUCCAACUUUCAUAAUUUCACUUUCUUUAUAUCUCUCACUUAAAAUUUUUGUUCCUUUUUUUUUCUUCUAGAAAAAGAGAAAUACACACCAAGAAACAUGAGCAAAUUGUCAAGAUGCAAAAACAGGUCGUGGAUAGCAGAACCACCAAAAGAGCAGAUAAAGCUUCUAGGUGGUGACGUGGUGCGGUGUGCAUGUUUUGUUCAACGGCCUAAUAAGAGAGAAAAUUAAAUUCCUGUUGAUGUUUAAAAAUUUCAACUUAAUUUAACCUGUUAGCUUUGCCACUGUUGUUUGCUAUCAAUCAAAAACAAAACAACAACCGUUAGCCUCACAAAGGAGUUCAACUUGUUACUUUAACAUGCGUCACAAUGCUUUGAACGAAACGGUGAGAGCUGAAAAAAGCUAAUUCAACAACUAGAUAUGGAUAAGUCAAAUGGAUGUGUCAUCAUAUCAGGGCUCGAAUAGUUCCAUGGCAUCGCUUUUAGCAGAUUUAGUUUGAAAGCUUUACGUUUCAGUCAUGAGCAGGUAGGUGAGAAGUUGAGCUAACAAAAUGUAGAAUUUCUCACCAACCAGCCCUAGGAAUCCCGUGUUCUCCACUUCCCACACCUAUAAAAGGCUCAUCAGAACAUGCAAUUGCAUUAACAAGCGCCCAGCUAUUACUCAUUUUGAAGCACUCGUCAUCUAUUUUUUAACCAUGGCUUGCUACCGUUUCCCUUUCUUUAUACUACCAUUUUUGCUGAUCACUUUGUCACUUAGGAGCAGCAACACUAUCUUGGUUGGUGCCCGACGUCUUUUAGAGACAUCGAUGCCAGAGAAACCUGAGCUUCCUAAGCCAGAAUUGCCUGAGAUACCUCCCUUUCCUAAGGUUGAACUCCCAAGGCCUGAGCUGCCAGAUGUUCCGAAGCCAGAAAUACCGAAAGUGCCUGAGUUGCCAAAGCCUGAAUUGCCCAAAACUCCUGAGUUGCCAAAGCCUGAAUUCCCCAAAGUUCCUGAGUUGCCUAAGCCUGAAUUGCCCAAAACUUCUGAGUUGCCAAAGUCUGAAUUGCCCAUAGUUCCUGAGUCGCCAAAGCCUGAGUUACCCAAGUUGUCUGAAUUGCAAAAACCUGAAGAAGUAAAAGCUCCAGAGUUUCCAACUCCUGAAUUGCCUACAGUUCCAGAGUUGCCCAAAGCUCCUGAGUUGCCAGAGCCUGAAUUGCCAAAAGUUCCUGAGUUGCCAAAGCCUGAAUUGCCUAAGUUGCCUGACAUGCCAAAACCUGAAGAACCCAAGGUUCCUGAGUUACCAAAGCCUGAGUUGCCUAAGCUGCCUGACAUGCCAAAACCUGAAGAACCCAAGGUUCCUGAGUUACCAAAGCCUGAGUUGCCUACGCUGCCUGACCUGCCAAAACCCGAAGAACCCAAGGUUCCUGAGUUACCAAAGCCUGAGUUGCCUAAGCUGCCUGACCUGCCAAAACCCGAAGAACCCAAAGUACCGGAGUUGCCCAAGCCAGAACUACCCAAGUUGCCUGACUUGCCAAACCCUGAAGCGCCAAAGGAAGAAGUGCCCAAGUGGCCUUAAUUCCCUACCAUGCCAAGUCUUCCUAAAGACUUCCCCAUCCCUCCCUUAACUCCAC
rnacentral:lncRNA from 1 species